rnacentral:tRNA from 3 species
GCCCACGUGGUGAAAUUGGUAGACACGCCAUCUUGAGGGGGUGGUGCCAGUAGGUGUACCAGUUCGAAUCUGGUCGUGGGCA